rnacentral:rRNA from 1 species
AUUGAACGCUGGCGGCAGGCCUAACACAUGCAAGUCGAGCGGAUGAAGGGAGCUUGCUCCUGGAUUCAGCGGCGGACGGGUGAGUAAUGCCUAGGAAUCUGCCUGGUAGUGGGGGAUAACGUCCGGAAACGGGCGCUAAUACCGCAUACGUCCUGAGGGAGAAAGUGGGGGAUCUUCGGACCUCACGCUCUCAGAUGAGCCUAGGUCGGAUUAGCUAGUUGGUGGGGUAAAGGCCUACCAAGGCGACGAUCCGUAACUGGUCUGAGAGGAUGAUCAGUCAAACUGGAACUGAGAAACGGUCCAGACUCCUACGGGAGGCAGCAGUGGGGAAUAUUGGACAAUGGGCGAAAGCCUGAUCCAGCCAUGCCGAGUGUGUGAAGAAGGUCUUCGGAUUGUAAAGCACUUUAAGUUGGGAGGAAGGGCAGUAAGUUAAUACCUUGCUGUUUUGACGUUACCAACAGAAUAAGCACCGGCUAACUUCGUG